rnacentral:rRNA from 1 species
UGGGGAAUAUUGGACAAUGGGGGAAACCCUGAUCCAGCAAUGCCGCGUGAGUGAAGAAGGCCUUAGGGUUGUAAAGCUCUUUCGCCCGCGAAGAUAAUGACGGUAGCGGGAGAAGAAGCCCCGGCUAACUCCGUGCCAGCAGCCGCGGUAAUACGGAGGGGGCUAGCGUUGUCCGGAUUUACUGGGUGUAAAGGGCGCGCAGGCGGGAUAAAAAGUCAGUGGUGAAAUCCUACAGCUUAACUGUAGAACUGCCUUUGAUACUUUUAUUCUUGAGUUCGGGAGAGAGAGACGGAAUUCCAGGUGUAGUGGUGAAAUACGUAGAUAUCUGGAAGAACACCAGUUGCGAAGGCGGUCUCUUGGUCCGACACUGACGCUGAGGCGCGAAAGCGUGGGGAGCAAACA